UCCCAGGUGAAAACAAUGAGUGAAUGUUUAGUUUGGUCGGCCAGGUUCUAUGAAGCCAUUACACAUCAGUCAGAGUUCCAUGGAGACGGUCUCCUUUCCUACAUAACAUAUGCAUAUAUACCUCCAUGGAGAUGGACGAAGACGACACGACCCACAUCACGACAGCGCGGCUCUAGUUUCCUUGGUCCGCUCCUUUGCUUCUCUUCAUGUCUCUACCUUGGUGUUGCCAUGCUACUCCUCCAUUCCAAUAUAACAUCCAACUAAUAAAAACUCACUGCUCUCUGUACAACAGAGCAGUAACAGGGGAAAGAAGAAAAACUGGAACUUCACUUACCCACUGAAGUGUGUAAAGCCUAGCUUUGAAUUUUCAGUUGCACCGCUCAAUCGCUCAUCAUCAUCCAUCUCAGAGAAUA
rnacentral:lncRNA from 1 species